GAUGCUCCCUGAUCAGCACACGAGUAUAAAGAAAUUGUGCGUCGUAUAGUUCUGAGCGGAUAGGAAAUUUGCUGGAUUGUUGCAUAUGUGCAUAAAACCGCGUGACCGGGGACCUUUUUUCAGCGAACCACUGCAACGGUCUUGGCCCAGGCACACAUGGUGCCAGUCUGUUUUAGGUUCCAAUUCCUCGCCCCCGCCGGAGUGCAGCAGAUAGACGGCACCGACAGAGCAUAAAAAAUACAGUGAGACUAUGAGCUAAAUUUAUUAAGGCAACUCAUUUCCAAACAACUAUUUCAUCUGCGGCAUGAGGCAAAAAUGCACAGACACAGACACAGACUCAUGGCAAUCGGAAAGAGUG